CACACAGCAAUUGUAUAACAAAGAAACAGCAUAAUGGAUAGAAGUCUAGACUUGGAAUAAAAAAACCUUGGGUUCAAAUCCGGUCCCUAAUAUUUACUCUCCUAGGCAAGUGAAUAUUUCUGUGUGCCUCAAGCAACUCCCUUGGACUUAUCUACUGAGUAAAAUAAAUUUUGGCUCUAGGUAGAGAAAGCUUUAGUAUGGAGCUUUCCCACACUGGGGAAAUCACAGAUCCUUGUAUUUGCAUACUGGGUCAGCAAAUGCAUGAAUGAGACCUUUGCAGAACUGCCAACAUUCAUUUGUUAUAUAACAAACCCUAUAAUUCUAAAAAAGGGGAAAAGUCCAUACAGACAUACGCAUUUACAGACCAAUGUGCAGAAUGAAAACUCACUGGCUGCCUCAUCCUGCUUCUCAGAAAAAGACUUAAUAACAGAGCACUAGCUCAUAAUACUGUGCCUUUGUUAUUUUUAGUAAAUAUACAAGAGCUCAUUUGGUAGAUUCCCAGGAAAUGCUAUAAUUAGAAUUAAAAAUCCUUCUCACAGCAAAUGAGCCAAGUACACUUCAGAAUGAAGUGCGGCUCAGGUCAUGUUUUCUUUACAUAUCCCUCAGCAUUUUAUAAUGGCAAAGUGCUCAGAAAUAAGAUUAUUGGAAGACCCUCCAAACGUCCCCAUUUGAAAGAUGAAAAAACAAAGGAAGAUUUAUUUAAUGUCAGGCAAUUAGGGGACACAGUGGAAAGACUGAAGAAGUUGGAGUCAAGAAGACCUGAGUUCAAAUUAUUUCAGAAAAAACUGGGGUGACUUACAUUAACUGAUUCAAAGUGAAGGGAGCGGAAGCAGGUAAACAUCAUAUACAAUAACAGCAAUAUUGUAUGAUGCACAAUUGGGAAUGACUUGACUAUUCUUAGCAAUAUAGUGAUCCAAGGCAAUCCCCAAACACUCAUGAUGAAAAAUGCCAUCCAUGUUGAGAAAGAACUGAAAGUCUGAAUGUCAACUGAAACAUAUUCUUCAUAUUUUGUUGGAGCUCUCUUCUGCAAAAUGACUAAUAUGAAAAAAUGUUUCACAUUAUUGCACAUGUGAAAUCUAUAGCAGAUUGCCUAUUGCCUCAAAGCAAGGGGGAGCCAGGGAAGGAGGGAAGGAAGGUGAGAAGUUGAUUCAAAAAGAUUUUUUUAAUGAUGAUUAAAGAUUGUUAUUACAUGAGUUGAGUAAAAAAUAAAAUAGCAUUUUAAAAAUAGAAGACCUGAGUU
rnacentral:lncRNA from 1 species